GUGGGGAAUAUUGGACAAUGGGCGAAAGCCUGAUCCAGCCAUGCCGCGUGUGUGAAGAAGGUCUUCGGAUUGUAAAGCACUUUAAGUUGGGAGGAAGGGCAUUAACCUAAUACGUUAGUGUUUUGACGUUACCGACAGAAUAAGCACCGGCUAACUUCGUGCCAGCAGCCGCGGUAAUACGAAGGGUGCAAGAGUUAAUCGGAAUUACUGGGCGUAAAGCGCGCGUAGGUGGUUCGUUAAGUUGGAUGUGAAAGCCCCGGGCUCAACCUGGGAACUGCAUCCAAAACUGGCGAGCUAGAGUACGGUAGAGGGUGGUGGAAUUUCCUGUGUAGCGGUGAAAUGCGUAGAUAUAGGAAGGAACACCAGUGGCGAAGGCGACUACCUGGACUGAUACUGACACUGAGGUGCGAAAGCGUGGGGAGCAAACAGGAUUAGAUACCCGAGUAGUCC
rnacentral:rRNA from 1 species